rnacentral:rRNA from 1 species
AUUGAACGCUGGCGGCAGGCUUAACACAUGCAAGUCGAACGGUAGCAGGAGGAAGCUUGCUUCUUGCUGACGAGUGGCGGACGGGUGAGUAAUGCUUGGGAAUCUGGCUUAUGGAGGGGGAUAACUACGGGAAACUGUAGCUAAUACCGCGUAGUAUCGGAAGAUGAAAGUGCGGGACCGUAAGGCCGCAUGCCAUGAGAUGAGCCCAAGUGGGAUUAGGUAGUUGGUGGGGUAAAGGCCUACCAAGCCUGCGAUCUCUAGCUGGUCUGAGAGGAUGGCCAGCCACACUGGAACUGAGACACGGUCCAGACUCCUACGGGAGGCAGCAGUGGGGAAUAUUGCGCAAUGGGGGAAACCCUGACGCAGCCAUGCCGCGUGAAUGAAGAAGGCCUUCGGGUUGUAAAGUUCUUUCGGUAUUGAGGAAGGUUGAUGUGUUAAUAGUACAUCAAAUUGACGUUAAAUACAGAAGAAGCACCGGCUAACUCCGUGCCNGCAGCCGCGGUAAUACGGAGGGUGCGAGCGUUAAUCGGAAUAACUGGGCGUAAAGGGCACGCAGGCGGUUAUUUAAGUGAGGUGUGAAAGCCCCGGGCUUAACCUGNGAAUUGCNUUCCANANUGGGNAACUANAGUACUUUAGGGAGGGGUAGAAUUCCACGUGUANC